GAUUGAACGCUGGCGGCAUGCCUUACACAUGCAAGUCGAACGGUAACAGGUUAAGCUGACGAGUGGCGAACGGGUGAGUAAUAUAUCGGAACGUGCCCAGUAGUGGGGGAUAGCCCGGCGAAAGCCGGAUUAAUACCGCAUACGACCUACGGGUGAAAGGGGGGAGUCGCAAGACCGUCUCGCUAUUGGAGGCGGCCGAUAUCAGAUUAGCUAGUUGGUGGGGUAAAAGACUCACCAAGGCGACGAUCUGUAGC
rnacentral:rRNA from 1 species